UCCAGGAAAGCCUAGUGGACAUGGCACCUGCCCGGUAAGCAGAAGGUUGUGGGUACGAUUCCCGCUCCUGGAC
rnacentral:tRNA from 1 species